rnacentral:miRNA from 3 species
ACUCCUGUAUGAAGCCGUUCCC